rnacentral:rRNA from 1 species
UACGUAGGGUGCGAGCGUUAAUCGGAAUUACUGGGCGUAAAGCGUGCGCAGGCGGUUUUUGUAAGCCAGGUGUGAAAGCCCCGGGCUUAACCUGGGAAUGGCAUUUGGGACUGCAAGGCUUGAGUGCGGGCAGAGGAGACUGGAAUUCCUGGUGUAGCAGUGAAAUGCGUAGAUAUCAGGAGGAAUACCGAUGGCGAAGGCAGGUCUCUGGGCUGACACU